rnacentral:tRNA from 2 species
GCCAGAGUGGCGAAAUUGGUAGACGCAGCGGAUUCAAAAUCCGCCGGUGGCAACACUGUGCCGGUUCAAGUCCGGCCUCUGGUACCA